AGACCUGUAGCUCAAGCGGUAAAGCACCAAGAGCAAUCGUGGUCGCGGGUUCGAGUCCCGAGAGGUCUACCA
rnacentral:tRNA from 1 species